rnacentral:rRNA from 1 species
AGCGGCGUAAGGGGCAGUAAUACCUGGGAACGUACCCGGAGGUCGGGGAUAGCUGCUGGAAACGGCGAGUAAUACCCGAUGAUCUUGGAAAAGCAAAGGCUUGCCGCCUUCGGAGCGGCCCAGGCGAUAUUAGCUAGUUGGUGAGGUAACGGCUUACCAAGGCCAAGAUGUCUAGCGGGUGUGAGAGCACGACCCGCGCCACUGGCACUGGGACACUGGCCAGACACCUACGGGUGGCUGCAGUCGAGAAUCUUCGGCAAUGAGCGCAAGCUUGACCGAGCGACGCCGCGUGCGGGAUGAAGGCCUUCGGGCUGUAAACCGCUUUGGUCCGAGAGAAAGGGCAACUUGAUCGAUCGGAGAAACAAGGACGGGCUAAGUUCGUGCCAGCAGCCGCGGUAAGACGAACCGUCCAAACGUUAUUCGGAAUCACUGGGCUUAAAGGGCGCGUAGGCGGCCGAGCGGGUCGCGGGUGAAAUCCUCCAGCUUAACUGGAGAACUGCCCUCGAUACCACUGCGGCUCGAGGAAGGAAGGGGUCAUGGGAACUGUCGGUGGAGCGGUGAAAUGCGUUGAUAUCGACAGGAACGCCUGUGGCGAAAGCGCAUGACUGGUCCUUUUCUGACGCUGAGGCGCGAAAGCCAGGGGAGCAAACGGGAUUAGAUACCCCGGUAGUCCUGGCCUUAAACGAUGAGAACUAGGUAG